rnacentral:rRNA from 1 species
GGACCCGCACAAGCGGUGGAGCAUGUGGUUUAAUUCGAUGCAACGCGAAAAACCUUACCUACACUUGACAUACUUCGAAUUUUCUAGAGAUAGAUUAGUGCCUUAGGGAACGAAGAUACAGGUGCUGCAUGGCUGUCGUCAGCUCGUGUCGUGAGAUGUUGGGUUAAGUCCUAUAACGAGCGCAACCCUCACCCUUAUUUGCCAGCGGUUAGGCCGGGAACUAUAAGGGAACUGCCGGUAAUAAGCCGGAGGAAGGUGGGGACGACGUCAAGUCAUCAUGGCCCUUACGUGUAGGGCUACACACGUGCUACAAUGGGAGAUACAAACGGUUGCCAAAGCGCGAGCUGGAGCC